rnacentral:rRNA from 1 species
UACGUAGGUGGCAAGCGUUGUCCGGAAUUAUUGGGCGUAAAGCGCGCGCAGGCGGUCCUUUUAAGUCUGAUGUGAAAGCCCACGGCUCAACCGUGGAGGGUCAUUGGAAACUGGGGGGACUUGAGUGCAGGAGAGAAGAGUGGAAUUCCACGUGUAGCGGUGAAAUGCGUAGAGAUGUGGAGGAACACCAGUGGCGAAGGCGACUCUUUGGCCUGUAACUGACGCUGAGGCGCGAAAGCGUGGGGAGCAAACAGG